GAUGAACGCUGGCGGCGUGCCUCAAACAUGCAAGUCGAGCGGGGCUAUGUAAUAUCGCAAGGUAGAACAUAGCCUAGCGGCGAACGGGUGAGUAACACGUGGGUAACCUGCCUGGAAGACAGGGAUAACGAUUCGAAAGGGUCGCUAAUACCUGAUAAUAUCCUUUCAUCGCAUGGUGAUAGGAAGAAAGGGGAAACCCGCUUUCAGAUGGGCCCGCGUCCCAUCAGCUAGUUGGUAAGGUAAAGGCUUACCAAGGCGACGACGGGUAGCCGGUCUGAGAGGAUGUACGGCCACACUGGGACUGAGAUACGGCCCAGACUCCUACGGGAGGCAGCAGUUGGGAAUCUUAGGCAAUGGACGAAAGUCUGACCUAGCGACGCCGCGUGAGGGAAGAAGGCCUUGGGUUGUAAACCUCUGUCAUGGGGAAGAAGGAAGUGACGGUACCCCAAGAGGAAGCCCCUGCUAACUACGUG
rnacentral:rRNA from 1 species